GAUUGUUUAGUUUAAAAAAAACAAAUGUUUUGAAAACAUUAAUUAAGAUAUAUAAUUCUUAAUAAUCG
rnacentral:tRNA from 1 species